ACAAGCAGCGGAGCGUGUGGUUAAUUCGAUGUUACACGAAGAACCUUACCUGGGUUUGACAUAGCAGUGGUAGGGAAGCGAAAGCGGACCGACCUUCGGGGAGCUGUUACAGGUGUUGCAUGGCUGUCGUCAGCUCGUGUCGUGAGAUGUUCGGUUAAGUCCGCUAACGAGCGCAACCCGCGUUGUGUGUUACAAGUGUCACACAAUACCGCCGGUAUUAAGUCGGAGGAAGGUGCGGAUGACGUCAAGUCAGCAUGACCUUUAUAUCCAGGGCUACACACACGCUACAAUGGUCAGCACAAUAGGUUGCCAAGUCGUGAGACGGAGCCAAUCCUCCAAAGCUGGCCUCAGUUCAGAUUGUAGGCUGCAACCCGCCUGCAUGAAGUUGGAGUUGCUAGUAACCGCAGGUCAGCUAUACUGCGGUGAAUACGUUCCCGGGGAUU
rnacentral:rRNA from 1 species